rnacentral:rRNA from 1 species
UACGAAGGGGGCUAGCGUUGCUCGGAAUCACUGGGCGUAAAGCGCACGUAGGCGGAUUGUUAAGUCAGGGGUGAAAUCCUGGAGCUCAACUCCAGAACUGCCUUUGAUACUGGCGAUCUUGAGUCCGGGAGAGGUGAGUGGAACUGCGAGUGUAGAGGUGAAAUUCGUAGAUAUUCGCAAGAACACCAGUGGCGAAGGCGGAUCUCUGGGCCUUACCUGACGCUCAGGUGCGAAAGCUAGGGGAGCGAACAGG